UUUGCGGGGGGAGGGGCUGUAGAGAGGCGUAGCAAGGUUAGGAGGUAGGUAGGAGAGGAGAUGGUUAGGAAUUGUUGGAGUUGGUACUGGUUGCCCCAAAGGCCCGUGAACAGGAUUCUGGAAGCUGUAAGAAUUGAUGAAGAACACUUGAGGGACACCUGCUAUGUUCUUCUGCUGACUGUAUUCCAGCAUUAAGAAAGCCUGGGAGCAAGCUAAAGUUGUAGAACUAUCAGAAUAAAGUAAGAGAUGGAAGAGACCAGAAUGUCAGAUGGACAUGUAGUUUUGCACACCAGUUUGUGAACUGGGGUUCAUCUAUGGUGAAGUUGCUACAGAUCAGCAGAGAAAUAAGAAAAAAAUAUAGUGGGACAUCAGUCUUCUCUAGCCUUUGGACUUGGACUCAGAAUGGAACUUACACGUUUGGUUCUCUUGGGUCUCCAACUUGCCAACAGUAGAUCUUGGAACUUCUCAGCCUCCAAAUAGCUAAAAACUUGGAAGAUACUUUGACACUGGGUAAUGGGAAGAGGCUGGAAGAGUUUUGAGGUGCAUGCUAGAAAUAUGGACAUUAGGGGCGAUUCUGGGAAGUCUCAGACUAAAAUGAGGAACAUGUUAUUAGAAUAUGGAGGGAAGGUGAUCUUUGUCAUCAAGUGGCAAAGGAUUUGGCUGAACUGUGUUCUAGUGUUUGUGGAAGGUAGAACUUGUUGAGUGAUGAAAUUAGAUAUUUAACUGAGGAGAUUUCUAAGUGAAGUGUUGAAGGAGUGGCUUGAUUCCCACGACUGAAGAAUGAGAGAACAGAGAGAGGAAAGAAGAGUAAAAUGAGAGAAGAGAUGGAUGAAUUGCAGAAGGAAUUGUUACAUAGAAAGGAACCAGACUUGGGAAUUUGGAUAAUUCUCACGUGUCCAUAUUGCAAAAAAUGAUAAAGCAUGUUCUAAAGAGAACACCAAGCUCAUAAAUGCACUAUCACUCAAUAAAGUUAUGGGAUUGUAGAAGAAACACUGCCAGUUUGAACUGAAGGGUCAGAGCUGGGACAAAAUGAAGAAAGUCAGCCAGACUUCUUGGAUUCUAAAAGACAAGACCAUAGGCCUG